UCUCUCUCUCUCUCUCUCUCUCUCAAAAAUAAACAUUAAAAAAGAAUUUCUUUAAUAAAAGAGAAAAGUCGUAAACCUUUGUCCUUUGAUGUGCCAUGGUAUUUAGGGAUAGGGAAGCAAUUAAAUAAAACUGGUCUGCUGAUUGAUUCUCUGUGCUCUCUGUUACUAUCAUGAUAACAUUUUUUAUUCUCAAAGUCAUGUGUUUGCUAAAAAAAAACUUAACACUUUCUUGGCCUUGAUGAAUUACCAUUAUAAUGAGUACAAGAUCAUGUUAGGUAUAAAUUAUACAUGUAUUAAUGUCUGAACAUGUUAUUUAAAAUUUUGUUAGUACUGUCACCAAUAUACUGUAGCUAUUGAACUGUUUCUUCAUUCUUCAGGCCCAUGGUCUUUUCUGUCUCUUAAUUUGCCUUUGGUAAGAUGACAUAUUAUUGUGUGUGUGUGUGUGUGUGUGUGCGCACGCGCGCACGCUUUAUUGAAUCUCAAUAUGGAAAAAUGUUUUCAAUAGGUAUGCUUGAGGAACAAGAGGAUUUGACGGUGCUUUGUACUUUUUGGUAGUUAUAUUAUUAGAAAAAAAUAUAGUAAUCCUAUUACAUUUAACUGGUAUCCAUUUAAUAAAAAUGUACUGUGCAGCUACAUUGUGCUGAUUAUUGUGCUGGAGACUGGCAUGUAAAGGAUGGGACCCGUAGGCCCAUCUACCUGCUCUUUGAUAUGCUGCUUGUACUACUUGAUGCAGGUAGGGUGAAGGACCAGAGAGAAAAGUAGAUAUUUUUUGUUGCUGGGUUAGCACUGGUUUAUGUUAACACUAUGCCAUAGUGUUAUCGACAUGGACAGACGCUUUAGCCUCAGUUUAAGUUUGUUAUGUAACUAUGUAACUUGCCUCAGUCCAAGAAUAACUGGGCUUGGAAUCAAGGUCUGUGUGGCUCCCCUUCUUAGGCCAUCAGAACCUCUAGAGGAUACGUUUUUUUUCUUUAAGGGAGGUUCUUACUAAUAGACAUCUAUGGUGAAUUCUUAUGUCAAGAGAAGAAUGGUCACCUUUUGGAAUGUUAAAAAUUGAAUAAUUUAAUAAUUGAAUUUUUAUAAAUUAUUUAACAUUCACUGCAAAAUCUAAAUAUUGUCUAAAUCGUAACACUUAAAUUAGUGUACGUUUAAAUUAGUGCACAUUUAAAAUAACUUUUAAGAGGAAUCCAGUCACUGAAACAAAGUAGAAUUGUAAGCUAUCUGUUGAUUGACGAAUAGGUUAAAUGUUGAAGGAUGAUGUCUAAAUACAAUGUUACACUGUCAGCUGUAUACUCCAAAUAGUAAUCUAAAGAGAUACUUGUAUAGAAAGAUAACAUUUGAAAACAAGGAAUCUGCUGUGUUUUUACUCAGACUGUUUCUUGUUUGUGUAAGUUAAAAGUAAGUUAAAAGUUUAUUCCAAAGCAAUGGAAAUGGCGCCUGGAUCUUCUACAUAUGGUUCAGAUUUUUCUGGUGAUUAUCCCCUUCGUUCAGGAUUAUGCUGUCCUGGACCCAGAGUGGCAUCAUGAGAAGGAAUGACCCAUCCCUGUCAAAUAUAGGAGCUGCCUAUAAAAUGUAUAGGUUUCAAUUUAGAUUUAGUUGGUUGCAGUAAACCAUAGGUGACCUUCUACAAAUUAGGAUCAUAUCAUCAGUUCUGUUUGAAUUUAUAUGAAGCCCAUUAGAAUGGAUAGAGACUAAUGUUUUUAUCUGCCAGGUUUGGCAGAACAAAAGCCAACCAGUACCAUCACCAUAGGAGAGGAAGGGUAUAUGGACUGUGUGGAAAAGCAUAGGGACAGAUAACUUAGCUGGAGAGUGUUGGAAGCCCAAGAUUUUCUAAUGACUGGAACCCAGUGAUACUGAAACAUUUAUAAUCUACAUGUAGGUAUCCCUGAAAGCUUUGUAGUUUCAGUACUAUGAAUAGCAUUAUUUUAUCCUCACGAAGUACAGUUUUCUAAGAGUCUGUACAAUUGAAGAAGGUAUGAAAAUAUGGUAAAUUGUGCUUAGUAGAGGAUCAAAAACAUUAAUAAAGCAGGCAAGCAAUAAGGAGAAAGUUGUGGGGAAGGGGCUAAGUAUUACAAUCCAUGGUGAUGGAAAGAGAGGGCUUUGGGCCUAGAUAAAAAUUCAUAUCGCAGCUGCCACUGAUUAGCUAUGUGGCCUUGAACUAAAUUUCUCUGGGUCUCAGUUUCCAGAUUGGUUAGAUGGGGAUAUUAACCCUUUCCUUGCAUACAUAUUGUAAGGAGUGAAAAUACUAUAAAGGCAUUUUGCCAGGGGUCUGACAUAAAGGGAGCAGUUAGCUAAAGUUUCCUUAUCAUAUGGGCUCUCAAAUGUAACCAAGUGACCAUAGUCAAGAAGAGAGCAGAGGAGCUGAGAAAACAAGAACUUUUAUACCUAGCAAUCCCUCAGAAGAUUAUUUGAUGAAUGAAAUUUUACUGAUAAACUGGUAUCCUCAAAAAAGUCAUUUGAGUCCUGCAGUUCAGGUCUUUGCAAACUUUUUUAUAGUCCUUGGGGAAUUAAAUCUGUCAUUUUGAGAAAUAUUUCAAAAGACUCACAUGUUACACCUUCCAUUCAUUAACACUACUAUUAAUAGUUUCUCUCAGGAGUUAAAUGAUAGCUAAGGUAGAUAGUAAAGAAAGCUUAAGAAUCAUAUGUAUAGAUAGAAGAAGUAUCAAAUAAUUCUUUUAACAAACCAACUUUAUUUUGCAGAUUUGGGCAUAAAUGUUAAAAUACUUGGAGGAAGAGUAUUUAGGGCUGAAUGGAAGCAAUCUUCACUGGAUAUAUUUACUUAUUAUAUAUAUUAUAUAUAUUAUAUGUAAUAUAAUUAUAUAUAUAAUAUAUAUUUAUUGAAACAAAAACAUUACCUAUAAAUAUGUCCAUAAAGUAUAUGCACUUCAUUACCAACCGGCUUUCCACCCCUUCUAGGUAAUGUGGCCACCAAAGAGGUGUCGGAUUGUUUCAGGGUAGCUGGGGACCUAGGGGAGAGUGAAUGAUCUGGUCGAUAGGGAGAUGUCACCAUCUGUACCUGGUUUCAGAACCCACAGUGGCCUGUGGACUGUCUUCCUUGCCAGCACACCCCCUUCUCUCCUUCUCAGACUGCCACCCUUGAAGCCAAACAGUUUUUAGUCAGACAAAGCAAGCCAUCCUGCCCGGACCAAAUUGACCCACGUCAGCAACUGCCACUAAGAAUUAUCAGUGUGUAAACAGCCCUAUUCACCUUAAACCAAAAAGAAAAACAGAACCUGAAAUGUGGACAUCUCUCAUUAGACACUUUUGUUACAGACUCUAAGUGAGUUUUCUUUUCAAAGAAGGGCAGUACAGAGAGAUGCCUAUCAGCAAAAGUAUAUGGAGAAGAAUUUACCUUUUCUUUCUUUUAUUGAGCUGUAAGUCACUGAGGAACUGUGGUGGGCCAGGCGCUCUGCUGAGUGCUUUAAGAAGAUUAUCGUAUUCAGGUCUCACGAAUGGGGGCUAUUAUCCUACUUCUCUGGAUUAGGGGAGGCAUACUCUGGAACAUUUCAGCAAGCCCAGGGUUGCAUAAUUAGUAAGUGUAAGGCUGGAAUUUCCCCCAGGUGAGUCUGAUUCCCAGCCCAUGCUGAGUCCGCCACUUCUCCACCCUCAGUCCCUUUCAGUCACGAUUGUUUCCAAGUCCCCACUGAGAGCCAUUUUCACAGGAGACUGGGAUCUGUGAGGUGAAUCUUUCCUGGACCAUGAGAUGCCACCAUGCUAGGGUUUCCACACCUAGAAAAUGCCUCACAAAAUCCUUCUUGUGAUUGAUUUCUUCCUCCCAUAAGAAAAAUGCACAUUGGGGCAUGGACAGCAGGAGGGUAAUAAUGCUGGAUGUAAUAAAUAAUUUAACUUUCACGUCGUACAGUUACCUGAAAUGCAUCCUGCCUCAACAGGACCAUAAUUAUAUUAAUGGUAAAAUAAGUGUGUUACAGUUUAUUUCCAAACUGUUGGCAUUUGUGAACACAAAUAGUGAAACCAUUUUGUGUUGGCUGAUUUCUUGAUGUUUGAAAUGAGUAUAUUCCCAAUGCCUUGUGCUUCAUGCUUACCAUUUUUAUGAGAAAACUGUUAAGCUGAUUUUGAAGAACUCGGCCUCAAAACAGACUAAUUUUCAGAGCCUAAAUUAGAAAUUAAAAAACAAUUUGUAGAAUGGUAAGAAAUUAGCACCAACAUUAAAAAAAAAA